rnacentral:rRNA from 1 species
CCAGACUCCUACGGGAGGCAGCAGUGGGGAAUAUUGCACAAUGGGGGAAACCCUGAUGCAGCGACGCCGCGUGAAGGACGAAGUAUUUCGGUACGUAAACUUCUAUCAGCAGGGAAGAAAAUGACGGUACCUGACCAAGAAGCCCCGGCUAACUACGUGCCAGCAGCCGCGGUAAUACGUAGGGGGCAAGCGUUAUCCGGAUUUACUGGGUGUAAAGGGAGCGUAGACGGCCGUGCAAGUCUGAUGUGAAAACCCGGGGCUCAACCCCGGGACUGCAUUGGAAACUGCAUGGCUGGAGUGUCGGAGAGGCAAGUGGAAUUCCUAGUGUAGCGGUGAAGUGCGUAGAUAUUAGGAGGAACACCAGUGGCGAAGGCGGCUUGCUGGACGACGGCUGACGUUGAGGCUCGAAAGCGUGGGGAGCAAACAGGAUUAGAUACCCUAGUA